AAAUUUGAUUUACCGUGAUCAUUAAGGCGGUUCCCCCGAGGCGAGGCUCUUCCAUUGCACUUCGGUUGGGCUGACCCUUGCGAUUAUCCCUAAUGUGGAUAUCUCGUGCGCACAAUUUUUGAUAGCCGGU
rnacentral:snRNA from 1 species